rnacentral:rRNA from 1 species
AUUGAACGCUGGCGGCAGGCCUAACACAUGCAAGUCGAGCGAGCGGCGGACGGGUGAGUAAUGUCUGGGAAACUGCCUGAUGGAGGGGGAUAUCUACUGGAAAAGGUAGCUAAUACCGCAUACCAUCAGAUGUGCCCAGAUGGGAUUAGCUCGUAGGUGUGGUAACGGCUCACCUAGGCGACGAUCCCUAGCUGGUCUGAACGGAGGACCAGCCACACUGGAACUGAGACACGGUCCAGACUCCUACGGAAGGCAGCAGUGGGGAAUAUUGCACAAUGGGCGAAAGCCUGAUGCAGCCAUGCCGCGUGUGUGAAGAAGGCCUUCGGGUUGUAAAGCACUUUCAGCGGGGAGGCGUUACCCGCAGAAGAAGCACCGGCUAACUCCGUGCCAGCAGCCGCGGUAAUUC